rnacentral:rRNA from 1 species
CUGUUUAUCAAAAACAUCGCCUCUUGAAUAAAUUAUAAGAGGUUCUGCCUGCCCAGUGACACAAGUUAAACGGCCGCGGUAUUUUAACCGUGCGAAGGUAGCGCAAUCACUCGUCUUUUAAAUGGGGACCCGUAUGAAUGGUGGUACGAAAACUCAACUGUCUCAUUCUUUUAACCAGUGAAAUUGAUUUCUCCGUGCAGAAGCGGGGAUAAACACAUAAGACAAAGAGACCCUGUGGAGCUUCAGAUAAAUCAGCUUAAGCUUUUGCAGAUUUCUAAUUUGCAUAUCUUAAAUCCUGCCUAUAUCUUAGAUUGGGGCGAUCAAGGAGUAAAACACACCCUCCAUGAAAAAUAUAUAUAUAUACAUAUAUUUUGAAUUAAGAGCGUCAGCUCAAAAUAUUAAAACAUUUAACUCUUGAACCGGCUUACCGAUUAACGGACCCAGUUACCCCAGGGAUAACAGCGCAAUCCUCUUAGAGAGCACCUAUCCUAAAGAGGGUUUACGACCUCGAUGUUGGAUCAGGGCAUCCUAAUGGCGCAUCUACUAUUAAGGGUUCGUUUGUUCAACGAUUAAAGUCCUACGUGAUCUGAGUUCAGACCG